ensembl:lncRNA
UGCCGUUGGGGGUGGGGGUGGGUCUGGGCCUGCUGGGGGCUAACUGAACGUCCUCUCUCCUCAUGAAGUCUCAGGUCCUCUCCACGUGGUCUCUCCACAGGGCUGGAUCAGGCUUCCGCACAGCGUGGCGGCCUGGACUGCUCACACAGUGGCUGCAGCCAUCAAGAACAGGCAGCCCAGGAAGAAAGUAGCCUCUGCACCUCCUUUUUGAACCUGCCUGGGAAAUCACCGUGGCCCUUGUCUUUUGAGGAGUUCCUCCAUGCCAGACGCGCUGCCUCGCGUACUUUACACUCCCUGUCUUGUUUAAGCAUCAGCCUGAGUCUGGGAGGAGAGUCCAUUAGCAUCCACACUUACAGAUGAGGAAACUGAGGCUUGCGGAGGCCAGGGGACAGACACAGUUGCCUUGUCUUUAUCUCUGAACAGUACAGGACCUCUACACAGCGCCUGCUUCUACGUGAGAUGGACUAUCAUGGAAACUACACAGAUGAGGAAAUGAGGCUCUGAGAGGUCAACGACCUGCCUGAGUCACAUAGCCAGCGAGUGGGAGCGUCAGCAACCGAACCCAGAAACACCGCUUCCCAGCCACCUGGCUACCCUCGUCCACCCCUUGCUGAAGCCUCUGAGCCCUGUUCGUGUCUGCUCAGUGACGAGCCUGUCAGUGGCCCAAGAAUUGGCGCUCCGGGGAGCUGGGCCUGGAGGCUGCUGCGCUCACACCUGCUCGCUCUGCCAGGCAAGACAUCGGAGCCUCGGAACCUGCAGCAGGCUCCAGAAAGGUGAGAAGACGUGGCGGUGAUCCAAUCAGACAAGAAGCCUCCCCUGGCAGCCACCAUCCGCCGAGCCUCGUGGGGCUCUGGGCUGGCCGUGCCCCGCUGACUCUUCCCCAUCUCUCGGGGGUGGAAACUAUGAUUGUCCUCGUCUUACAGCCGGGGAAACUGAGGUUCUGAGAGCCUGAGCAAUGCACCCAAGGUCACUCAGUUAGUGGCAGAACCGGGCCUGGAACUCAGGCCCUUCUGAAGCCAGAUCCCGAAGAGAGAUUUUUCUCAGCGCUCAUCAGAUUGGGCCAUUCCUUUGCAUAAUCCUCCUCAGUGGCCUCCACACUCCUGAACUCGGCCCAAGGGUCCUGCAAGGCCUGAUCCUGACCUUCAUCUUCUGCCUCAUCUCUCUCCUGUCUAUCUUGAGCCCCUUCACCCUGACUGAGUGCUUUCCUCCAGCCACGCUGAUCCUUCUGAUCCCCAGUGUAAGGUCCAGUGUUCUCUUACCUCCCAGCCUUCACACAUGCUAUUCCCUCUGCCCAGAACGCCCUUCCCUUCCUCCUGAUAUGGUUAACAUUCCUUCUCCUCCAGGGCUCAGCCAGGUGUAACCUCCUCAGGGAUGCUCUCCUCAUCUCCCCAAGGCUGUGAGCUGCCCCACUUCCUGCCCUCCCUAUGCGGGGCUUGCCCCAUCCAGAAGCUAAUUCCCCUACCAGCCUGUGAGUUCCCGAGGCCAGGGUCUUCAUCUGCCUUUUUCAGAGUUAUAGCCCCAGCACACAGGCCAGGGCCCAGCACACAACAGGAGCUCAACUUGUACUUGCUGAAUGAACAAAUCAAUGAAAAAUUGCAGGGGCAGGCCCAGUGGCAUAGUGGUUCAGUUCGUGCACUCUGCUUCAGCAGCCUGGGAUUUGUGGGUUUGGAUCCCGGGUGUGGACGUACACCCCGCUCAUCAAGCCAUGCUGUGGAAGGUCCCCCAUACAAAAUAGAGGUAGAUUGGCACAGAUGUUAGCUCAGGGCCAAUCUUUCUCACCAAAAAAGAAAAAUAAAACUGCCGAAGUCGCUGUCCUAGCCUCCUCUUCUCACAGUGCUGUGAGCUGUAGUCGCAUAAACACAGUGGCUAUUUUUCAUGAUAAAUGAAAAUGGGCGGUUAUUA